GGAUCCGGAGUUACUGCAGGCUGAAGCACAAAUAAUUGAAGAACUGGAAAUAUAAAAAAACAUAAUUAAUUGCCUUUAAUAGAGUUGAAGUAAAUAAAAAAUAAUAUCAAACAAAAACAAUUGAAAAACAGCUGGACAUGAUUGGAUCUAAAUGGAUUGAUUGGAUAAAUCUAAGAUUCGCAUUUCUCAGUCCUAACUAAAGAUAGAUACAAAAAUUAUCCUUUUUUAAACAGAUAUUUUACUUAAUGCUUUCUAAUGAAUUCUAAUUAAUGUUCAAUUAAAUAAAUUAACUUUUAAAAUGUGUUUAACCAUAAUGUUCAAUCAAAGUAAUUAACUAGCUUUCGGUGUAAUUCGUAGCAAUUUAAACUUGCGUUGAAUCAUUAUUUUAAUGUAGAGGUAAGUGUCUUAAGUUGAGUGUUAUAAUGAAAACAACUGUAACAACCAGAGGAAUACCAAGGAUCAUACUAAGGUGUCGUUAACUGGGAAUUACAAUUCAACUAUUGAUAUUAGUUAAAUGAUGGCUAGAUGAAAUGAAUUAUCUCCUAGCAGCAAAGUUAAAUUGAGUUAACUGAGGAACAAAAAUGAAUGUUCAUGUUUCCUUAAGAAAAUUACUCAUCCCUUUACAUUAUGCUCAACUGAAUAUGGAUUAAAUUACGAUGACUUUAAACAUUAUUACAAGAAAUACAAACAAAAUACGGUCAAAAGCAAACAAGAUGAGUAAAUAGCAAUCUAAAUCAAUGCCAAGGCUGACAGGACCAGGAAAGGUGAAGCUCGGCCAACAAACUCAUACAUGACCCCACCGAAAGGAGGUCCAAUUAAGACACCUAAAGCUAACCCACCAAGAGCUAUUGCCAUGGCGUUACCUCGUUCACG